UAGAGUUUGAUCAUGGCUCAGGACGAACGCUGGCGGCGUGCCUAAUACAUGCAAGUUGAGCGCUGAAGGUUGGUACUUGUACCGACUGGAUGAGCAGCGAACGGGUGAGUAACGCGUGGGGAAUCUGCCUUUGAGCGGGGGACAACAUUUGGAAACGAAUGCUAAUACCGCAUAAAAACUUUAAACACAAGUUUUAAGUUUGAAAGAUGCAAUUGCAUCACUCAAAGAUGAUCCCGCGUUGUAUUAGCUAGUUGGUGAGGUAAAGGCUCACCAAGGCGAUGAUACAUAGCCGACCUGAGAGGGUGAUCGGCCACAUUGGGACUGGGACACGGCCCAAACUCCUACGGGAGGCAGCAGUAGGGAAUCUUCGGCAAUGGACGAAGGUCUGACCGAGCAACGCCGCGUGAGUGAGGAAGGUUUUCGGAUCGUAAAACUCUGUUGGUAGAGAAGAACGUUGGUGAGAGUGGAAAGCUCAUCAAGUGACGGUAACUACCUAGAAAGGGACGGCUAACUACGUGCCAGCAGCCGCGGUAAUACGUAGGUCCCGAGCGUUGUCCGGAUUUAUUGGGCGUAAAGCGAGCGCAGGUGGUUUAUUAAGUCUGGUGUAAAAGGCAGUGGCUCAACCAUUGUAUGCAUUGGAAACUGGUAGACUUGAGUGCAGGAGAGGAGAGUGGAAUUCCAUGUGUAGCGGUGAAAUGCGUAGAUAUAUGGAGGAACACCGGUGGCGAAAGCGGCUCUCUGGCCUGUAACUGACACUGAGGCUCGAAAGCGUGGGGAGCAAACAGGAUUAGAUACCCUGGUAGUCCACGCCGUAAACGAUGAGUGCUAGAUGUAGGGAGCUAUAAGUUCUCUGUAUCGCAGCUAACGCAAUAAGCACUCCGCCUGGGGAGUACGACCGCAAGGUUGAAACUCAAAGGAAUUGACG
rnacentral:rRNA from 1 species